rnacentral:lncRNA from 1 species
GCACAGGAACCGGGCUGGAGCACAUCUGGAGAGCUGGUGGUGCGAGAGCAUUGGUGCCCAAGCUUCUGCAAUUGAGCAGUUGUGAUGGCAGUAAGAGAGCAGCAAUACACUGACAUCAGAGCAUCGCUGGGGCACAGCUGGCAGUACGAGGGCACUGUGCAAGAGGAUUCGCUGAGGACAGCCAGAUGAGCAUCCCCAGAUUGAGGAAGAGCUCUCAGAUCCUGAAAGCUUCCUGUGGAUCGAGGUCUGGUGAUGGCAGAAGAGGAAAUAGGGGCGUUACCUUCUGCAUGAUGGACAGCUUAUGGGACAGGCAUAUUUUGACCUACAGUGCGAUGUUAAUGAGGUUGCAGUUUGGCCCAGAGCCACGUGGAUGCCCUCCCAGCUGGCAUCCCCAGGCAGCACCGUGCUGCCCUUGGUGCCGACUGCCUCCUGGACCCCAAGGACUAUGCCCUGGCUCACAGCUGGGCAGGCUCCCACUCAGAGCUGCUGCACUUGGCAGGCUCACUGGCAGCAGUACUCACCUGCACCUAAGUGAGAACACGAGCCCCAGAUGCCCACUAGACCUGGUUGGCCCUGGCAGGAGACAGGAUGGACAGGAAUGUCAGCCUUUGUCCACAGGGCCUGCCAGGGGUCACCCCUGCUUGGUGCAACACAGGAUCUCAGGCAUUUUCUGUAAAAGCACUCUGCUAUCAUCAGCAUUAACAGCUGGAAGAUGCAAAGUGCUCUGGGAUUGCCACGAAGUGUAGUGAAAGUGUGGGAGAUGAUGAAUCUGUUCUCCAGGAGAGAGACUAUAGAGCUGCUCAUUUACCUUUGUUAGGCAGCAAGCAGAUUGUCUGGGCACAGCCAUGCCGUGGUGAAGAGUUGAAAGGCCCCAGCAGUGCCUGCUGACAGCUCCAGCUCAACAGGGGGUGGAGGAUUUCCCUGCAGCAGCCCCAAACCAUGGAUCCAGAGCAGUGCUUGUGCUGUGAACCCUGGGAUGCACUCGACUCAUGGAAUGAACCUCUGCCGUGCAAUGGUGAGGGCUUGCCAAGGUGUCUCCUGCAACUCAUUAGAAGAGAGGUAUCACAUACUUACUUCUCCCCGUCUGAUCUGUAAGAUGCCACUGCAGUGAUUACAACUUUUUUUCCUGUUUUUUUUUUUUUUUACUCAGAAUGUGUGAACGCACUCAAUUCAAGGUUAAGCUUCCCAUUAAGUCACACAAGUCUGACAAAGAGCUUAAAUGACCACGGAAAGCAAAACAGUCACCUGCCCUAGCCAAAAAACCUGAGGCCGUGCAAAUUCUCCUCCCAGUCCCUGCAGAGCAGCUCCCAGUGGUGCCGGGUUGCUUGGUGUGGGUCUGGUGGCAGCGUGGUGUCCUUGGAGCCCAUCUCAUGCUGCUCCCAUUGCCAUUCCUUGUGAGUGCUGUGCGUGUGCCAGAGGGCUGUGAAUGAGGGCUGCUGUGUGGUGUUCCAUCACAUCCACACAUCUUGGUGUCCCCAUGCUGUGAGCCUGGCCGGUGUGACCUCGGGGCUCCUCCUGAGGCAGCGCUGGUCUAAAAACACUGAUGAAAAGCUGAUUAAUCCUUGUAAGCGAGCAGCGAUAGCUUCUCUCCAGAACUGAAGAGAUUACCACUGAUUUGUCAUCCUGAUUGUUUCAAAGAGAGGUGCAAUUAGUUGCUCUAAUUUAGCUCGCUGAGUGGCAUGACAACUGAGAUGUAAUCAGGAGCUCCGCACACAGCGCAGCCACCGAUGGGUGCAGCUGUGCCCACCACCAUUUUGCACGCUGAGGGUGGGCCCAAAAUGAUGGAGCACUGUGUGCUCGAGCCCCUCCAACUGCAUCAGGCAAAGUGUGAGUGCUCGACUCUGAGAUCAGCAGGGCUUCUUAUGGGACAGGCUUUAAGCCACGGGGUUGUGGCUGAGCACCCUGGGGGAUGCUGAGCACACCUUUGCCAGGUGCAGUAAAAUUAAUACUAGCUAUAGGAGAGGGUGCACUUUGUGCUCAAGGCCCCAUCUGAGACCAGUUGUUGGUUUGGAAGAGGAGCUGAGCUGCAAAGGGAAGCGUGAGGCACCCUGUGGGCUGACACUCCAAGCAGAGGGGAGGGAACGCAGUAGUUGUAUGUCCAUUUCCAGCAGAACAAAAGAAUUCAAAAUGAACAAAAUAAAGACGAUGCUUUAAAAGUAAAAAUGGUCUCU